rnacentral:lncRNA from 1 species
AAGACUUCACCCGGACUCCUACGGGAGUCGGGUUCCGCCUGCAAGGAAGACUUCACCCGGACUCCUACGGGAGCCGGGUUCCGCCUCCAAGGAAGACUUCACCCGGACUCCUACGGGAGCCGGGUUCCGCCUGUAAGGAAGACUUCGCCCGGACCCCUACGGGAGCCGGGCUCCAUCCACGACUUCUGCAGCAGGGGUUAAUGGUGACGAAACCCGGCCGCCUAACAAGAUCGGAUGAAGAGAAAAAACCCCCACCCCCC